CUGGCGGCGUGCCUAAUACAUGCAAGUCGAACGGUCUUUCUAUGGAAGCUUGCUUCCACUGAGAAGAUAGUGGCGAACGGGUGAGUAACACGUGGGGUAACCUGCCCAUAAGAGGGGGGAUAACGAUCCGGAAACGGGUGCUAAUACCGCAUAGUUUUCUUGAUCGCAUGAUUGAGAAAGGAAAGACGGCCUUUGUGCUGUCGCUUAUGGAUGGACCCGCGGCGUAUUAGUUAGUUGGUGAGGUAACGGCUCACCAAGACGAUGAUACGUAGCCGACCUGAGAGGGUGAUCGGCCACAUUGGGACUGAGACACGGCCCAAACUCCUACGGGAGGCAGCAGUAGGGAAUCUUCCGCAAUGGACGAAAGUCUGACGGAGCAACGCCGCGUGAGUGAAAGAAGGUUUUCGGAUCGUAAACUCUGUUGUCAGAGAAGAACAAGUUGGAGAGUAACUGCUCCAGCCUUGACGGUAUCUGACCAGAAAGCCACGGCUAACUACGUGCCAGCCGCCGC
rnacentral:rRNA from 1 species